rnacentral:rRNA from 1 species
GACGAACGCUGGCGGCGUGCCUAAUACAUGCAAGUCGAACGCUGAAGGAGGAGCUUGCUUCUCUGGAUGAGUUGCGAACGGGUGAGUAACGCGUAGGUAACCUGCCUGGUAGCGGGGGAUAACUAUUGGAAACGAUAGCUAAUACCGCAUAAGAGUAGAUGUCGCAUGACAUUUGCUUAAAAGGUGCAAUUGCAUCACUACCAGAUGGACCUGCGUUGUAUUAGCUAGUUGGUGAGGUAACGGCUCACCGAGGCAACGAUACAUAGCCGACCUGAGAGGGGGAUCGGCCACCCGGGGACUGGGACACGGCCCAGACUCCUACGGGAGGCAGCAGUAGGGAAUUUUCGGCAAUGGACGGAAGUCUGACCGAGCAACGCCGCGGGAGUGAAGAAGGUGUUCGGAUCGUAAAGCUCUGUUGUAAGGGAAGAACGGGUGUGGGAGUGGAAAGUCCACACUGUGACGGUAUCUUACCAGAAAGGGACGGCUAACUACGG